rnacentral:rRNA from 1 species
AACGAACGCUGGCGGCAUGCCUAACACAUGCAAGUCGAACGAGACCUUCGGGUCUAGUGGCGCACGGGUGCGUGACGCGUGGGAACCUGCCCUUAGGUUCGGAAUAACUCUCCGAAAGGGGUGCUAAUACCGGAUAAUGUCUUCGGACCAAAGAUUUAUCGCCUUUGGAUGGGCCCGCGUUGGAUUAGCUAGUUGGUAGGGUAAAAGCCUACCAAGGCGACGACCCAUAGCUGGUCUGAGAGGAUGAUCAGCCACACUGGGACUGAGACACGGCCCAGACUCCUACGGGAGGCAGCAGUGGGGAAUAUUGGACAAUGGGCGAAAGCCUGAUCCAGCAAUGCCGCGUGAGUGAUGAAGGCCUUAGGGUUGUAAAGCUCUUUUACCCGGGAUGAUAAUGACAGUACCGGGAGAAUAAGCUCCGGCUAACUCCGUG